rnacentral:rRNA from 1 species
GUAAGGUAUUGGCUUACCAAGGUUGCAACGGGUAACGGGGAAUCAGGGUUCGAUUCCGGAGAGGGAGCCUGAGAAACGGCUACCACAUCCAAGGAAGGCAGCAGGCACGGAAAUUACCCAAUCUAGACAGUAGGAGGUGGUGAAGAGAAUUACUAAGUGGUGGUCUAAUAGAUUACCAGCUUGGAAUGAACGUAAUUUAAGCAAUUCGAUGAGUAACUACUGGAGGGCAAGUCCUGGUGCCAGCAGCCGCGGUAAUUCCAGCUCCAGUGGCCUCCUCUAAAGUUGUUGCGUUUAAAACGCUCGUAGUUGGAUCACGCAGUGAUAUUCAGUUAUCUCUACAGUGUACUGGGGACUCUCGCGUUGUUACAACAUGUUGACGAUCUAUGUACACGUAUUGAUAAUUCAGCUGAAUGUCACUAUUUGCACGCGAGUGUGGUGGUUGACCUUUAAUGCGUUGAGCAUCGCGACUUGCGGGGUGUGCCUUGAAUAAAACAGAGUGCUCAAAGCAGGCUUUGCUUGAAUGUUGUAGCAUGGAACGAACAAACGUGUAUAUGUACGUGCUACUCAACGUGGGCGAGUCUUUGAUUCGCUCGUGUAGUUAGCGCGUACAGCACCUACCAAAAUAUGGAUGUUGGUUCCGUAUACGGUGAUGAUUAAAAGGAGCGGUUGGGGGCAUUGGUAUUUGGCCGCGAGAGGUGAAAUUCUUAGACCGGCCAAGGACUAACAAAUGCGAAGGCAUUUGUCUAGACCGUUUCCAUUAAUCAAGAACGAAAGUGGGAGGUUCGAAGACGAUCAGAUACCGUCCUAGUUCCCACUGUAAACUAUGCCGACCUGGGAUCAGUUUGGAGAUAUACAAGCUCUAGG